rnacentral:rRNA from 1 species
CGGGUGAGUAAUGUAUGGGGAUCUGCCCGAUAGAGGGGGAUAACUACUGGAAACGGUGGCUAAUACCGCAUAAUGUCUACGGACCAAAGCAGGGGCUCUUCGGACCUUGCACUAUCGGAUGAACCCAUAUGGGAUUAGCUAGUAGGUGGGGUAAAGGCUCACCUAGGCGACGAUCCCUAGCUGGUCUGAGAGGAUGACCAGCCACACUGGGACUGAGACACGGCCCAG